UACGUAGGUGGCAAGCGUUAUCCGGAUUUACUGGGUGUAAAGGGCGAGUAGGCGGGAUUGCAAGUCAGAUGUGAAAACUAUGGGCUCAACCGAUAGAGUGCAUUUGAAACUGCAGUUCUUGAGUGAUGGAGAGGCAGGCGGAAUUCCCGGUGUAGCGGUGGAAUGCGUAGAUAUCGGGAGGAACACCAGUGGCGAAGGCGGCCUGCUGGACAUUAACUGACGCUGAAGCGCGAAAGCGUGGGGAGCAAACAGG
rnacentral:rRNA from 1 species